AUAAAAGCAUCGAUAUUUUACAAAAAGUGUCUUCAAUCUCAUCUUAUCCGAUUAUUCAUGAAGGAUAUCCUCAUCAGAACAGUUGGAAUAGAUUGUAGCGAAUAGCAUAACCCUUAAUCAUAUGCAUGACGAUGAUAUGGAGGAAAAAUAUACAUAAAAAAGUGAAUGUAGGUGAAAGCCUGUCCACUUUUCUGAAGAGAUUAGAGAGAAGAAAACUGUGUGACUUUAAAAGAAAACCAGUGAGAUAAAAUCAUAGAAAAUGUAUGAUGAUUCAGGAUGUGGUCAUUUGUGACAGUAAAACAGGAAUUGUCAUCACCAAUAGACGAAUUUCACAUUCCUAAGAGUUUUCUCCAAUUGUCGGCGUAUCACUCAUUUUUCCCACUUUGUCCUUUGUCCUGUUCUGUGGAUGCCCUAAGACAGUGUCUACCCAUCACGCCAUCUGAUAUCACUUGUUCUGAGCAUAUUUCUCUCUCAACUUAAACUACAGAGAGCCUGUGGAUAGAGGAUGAAGAGUGACCUUGGACUAAUUUUCUAGGUCAAAGAUCAUAGGUGAUGUGAAGAAAACCAGGAAACUGAUGUUGAAAGAAGUACUUAAUGACCCUUAUGAAUGGACUUAAAUGUGAAAGACUGUUCCAUUGUUUAUCUAAGAUGUAUGAAUUUAUUUAAUAUUUUGAUAUCAUUGAAAAAUUCAGUUACAGUUUUUGUACAUCAAAUGAAUUAUUAAACAUAU